rnacentral:rRNA from 1 species
UAGGGAAUCUUCCACAAUGGACGAAAGCCUGAUGGAGCAACGCCGCGUGUGUGAUGAAGGGUUUCGGCUCGUAAAACACUGUUGUAAGAGAAGAAUGACAUUGAGAGUAACUGUUCAAUGUGUGACGGUAUCUUACCAGAAAGGAACGGCUAAAUACGUACCAG